CCUACGGGGGGCAGCAGUGAGGAAUAUUGGUCAAUGGGCGGAAGCCUGAACCAGCCAAGUAGCGUGCAGGAUGACGGCCCUACGGGUUGUAAACUGCUUUUAUACGGGAAUAACGCGCCUUAAGUGUAGGUCUUUGCAUGUACCGUAUGAAUAAGGACCGGCUAAUUCCGUGCCAGCAGCCGCGGUAAUACGGAAGGUCCGGGCGUUAUCCGGAUUUAUUGGGUUUAAAGGGAGCGUAGGCCGCAUGUCAAGCGUGCUGUGAAAUGUUCGGGCUCAACCCGUGCCUUGCAGCGCGAACUGGCGGGCUUGAGUGCGGGGAAGGCAGGCGGAAUUCGUCGUGUAGCGGUGAAAUGCUUAGAUAUGACGAAGAACCCCGAUUGCGAAGGCAGCUUGCUGCAGCGGAACUGACGCUGAUGCUCGAAAGCGCGGGUAUCGAACAGGAUUAGAUACCCGGGUAGUC
rnacentral:rRNA from 1 species